AAAACGAGAAAUCCCGUGGAGGGCCGCGCUACUCUCUGGCAGCAAAGCUAUUAAACUUGCAAGUGUCAGUUCUGAGCCGUCGGACAGGUCGGAAGCCGCCCAGCCUCGUGCGUCCCAGUUAAAGCAGUUAGUUCCAGUUAGAGAUGUGCUCGCAGAAGAAUCAAUCAUCCUUUCUGACAGUUUCUUCCGAAUUAAAAGAGGCAGAGGAGGGCAGAAAAAGGAGGCACAUCCCAGAGUCUGAACUCCUCACAGAGUGGGGUCUCUGCCAACUAUAGCUCUGUUUGAUAAAACAGGGGCGCUCUACCUAGACUGUGUGCCCGCCUACCCUUCAGGCUCUGGGAUAGCACUGACUCUGGACUUAAAUUCGUGUGACAGGAAGUUUUUUUUUUUUUUUUUUUUUUGUAGACAGAGACUCAGUCUGUCGCCCAGGCUGGAAUGCAGUGGUGCGAUCUUGGCUCACUGCAACCUCUGCCACCCGGGUUCAAGUGAUUCCCUUGCCUCAGUCUCCCGAGUAGCUGGGACUACAGGCGUGUGCCACCAUGUCUGGCUAAUUUUGUGUAUUUUUAGUAGAGACAGGGAGGGUUUCAAGGUAUUAGCCGGGAUAGUCUUUAUCCCCCGAUCACCUGAUCCGCCCACAUCAGCCUCUCAAGACAGGAACUUUUUAAACAGUAUUUUAGGGAUAGAAACAGCACUAAAUUGGUCCUGGCUGGAACACUAACUGUGGCCUCCGUUUCUUUAUCUCUAAAAUGGGUAUUACUGGCUGAAGCAUGUCCUUCCUCUCCCAAAUUUCUAUGUUGAAAUCCUAACCCCCAGUACCUCAGAAUGUGACUGUAUUUGGAGACACGGUCUUUAAAGAGCUGAUUCAGUUACAAUGAAGUCCUGACCGUGGGCCCUACUCCAAGAUGCCUGGCGCCCUUCUGAGAAGAGGAAGUUUGGACACAGAUGUACAGAGGGAAGCCAGCGCGAGGCCACAGGGCAAAGACGCCCCUCCAUGAGCCAAGGAGAGAGGCCUCAGGAGAAGCAAUCCUGCUGACCCCUUGAUCUUGGACUUCUGGCCUCCACAACAGCUGCAGAGAAUUCCGCGGCCUCGUUUCGCUGUGUCAGGCCUCGCAGCCGCUUCCUGGCUCACUGCUGGCCUGGAAUUUUAGAGGAUCCCUGAUUUGGAGUUGUGCAUUGAAACCGGGAGCCUGUCUGGUUCCAUAUUCAACUGUCACCACCAACCGUUUCUUGAACGCCCGCUGUGUGUCGAGGUUUGCCCCUCUGUGCCAGGCUCUGGCAGUGGAGAGGGAGGGAGACAGAGCAGCGGCCCCAGCCUGCCCUGCGGACGCCAGGCCCGCUCCCACCUUGGUUGGUCCACGCUGGGCCCUGCUCUGCAGGGCGGUCUUCCAGCAUGUUCCUUGCGACCCACGUUCAGUCCCCGCUUCCUGGGGCACCCUUGUUGAGAACUCUUCAAUACCCAGCGCUUUCUGGAAACUCCCACAGCAUCCGUUGGUCAAUCCGCGCACAGGAGAAGAGGGACAGAAGGAGAGAAGAGGAACGAGAGGAGAGAAAACACAAGAAAGAGGAUGGAAGAUAAAGGUGAGGGGUUUGCUAGCUGGAAGCUGUAAAUUUUGAAGCAUCAGCAUUCAUCUACGGUGUCUUGGUGCCAGGUCGCUAGAGGCAUUGGCAGGCUACCUUGAGGCAGAGUGGUGUCAUGACAAGGGCACUGGGCUGGAAGACAGCUGCUAUAAGCUCUCAGCCCAGCCCUGCCUCUCACUAAUUCUAGGAUCCUGGGUGAGUCAUGUCACUGCUAGCUUGGCGUUUUGUUUCUGCAAAAUGCAGGGUUGGAUCAGACUGCCUGUAAGGUCCUUCCCCAGCUCCUGAGAGCUGUGGCUUUAUGAUCAGUGGGCAGUCAAGCCAUGUCCUGGCAGAGCUGAGGACUAGGGUCAGGGAUAACCUAUGAUUCCUGUCCUGCUUCCUAGUUUCCCGAGUUUCUGGGGACUUUUGUAGCCCAUUUGGCAGGGAUGCCCAAAUCAGGGACAAAGGAAUGCUGGGGAUGAGUCAGUGAUGCGGUAGAGGGAGAGGCUGGGUAGGUGAGGGUGGCACUUACAGCAGGAGGAGAUGGGCACGCUGAUGGCCAGGAUCACCCAGGCGAUAUCCAUCUUGCUCAGGCAGAUGGUGGCUCUGUGCUGGGGUUUGUCCCCUUCGGCCACGUGGGAGAUGUUCCCUGCUGUCCCAGGCUUCCAGGUCCCGGCGGGAACCAGGCGGUUGAGGAAGUUGCCUGUGGCUGUGGAUACCACGGUGGAGAGAGGACUGGGCACCCUGUCGGUCAUGGUGUAGGUGGCUGCAGUCUCCUCCUUGGCUCCAGAAAUAGUGCUUUCUGAGACCCUGGGGGGAUGGGUUGGAGCCUGUGUGGUUGUGGAUGCUCCCUGAGGAAUCCCCUGGGAAGGGGCUGAGACACUGGCAUCGAAGGCAGUUGGGGUGGGCCCCGUGGCGGCCGUGAAGACCCCAGAGCUGGCAGAUGGAGGUCUGUUGGUGCCAGGGGUGACAGUAAGCCAAGAGUCACUAUGGCUGGGGCCGUCCUGUGGGUCACCAUGGUAGGGGCGCUGAGAAGGCACUGGGGCAGGUUGUAGACUGGCAGGGGCACCUGAGGCUGCUGUGGCAUCUGGCGUCCCUCCUUGGCUGGUGAAGGUAGAACUACCUCCCUGGGCUGCUCUGCGAAGGCCUGGCUUGUCCUCUGUAGGCCCCAGGGAGGUGGUGGGAGGUGCCCACAGGGUAUUGCUGGGUGCUGUGGUGACAGCCACUGUCUGGGGCUGUGGCGAAGAGGAGUAGCCCCAGAGCGGGGUCCUGGGGGUGAGGGCAGAGGGGUCCAGCUCCACAGACCCAGUGAAGUUGCCUUUGUAGAUCUGGAAGAUUUUCCCCAGGGGCUGCUUCUGCCCUAGAGGUGUGGAACUUGGGUUUCGUCCCCGCUGUCCUUCCUUACUCCUGGAGUGGCCACCAGGUGCAUGUGGGACAGGGCGUGAUGAAUUACCAGCCCCUUUUCGGGAGGAGCCUGGGGGCCUGGGGGGCCUGCGUGUGGUAGCGCGGGGGGGCGCUGUGGUGGGGCGGCUGGUGGCCCCCGGUGGCUUUGUCAGCAGGAUGGUGGGAGCAGCCCGACCUGGGGGGCGGCCCUCUGGGUGGGAGGAUGUGGUUGCCAUGGCCACUGGAGUGGGCUCUGUGGGUAGGGAGCUUUUAGAAUGGGGGGUGGUUACUGUCGCAGCGAUGGUAGAGAUGGUGUGCGUAGGAGGGUGCCCCUCCGCAUGGGGUGUCGGUGUUGCCGUGGAAGCUGAAGCCUGUGAGGGGGGUCCAUUGGGAUUGGGGGUCACUGUCACCACAGAAGUGUGUCUGGUAGAGCUGUGGGGUGCUGUCUCCAUGGUUCCUGGGGGACUGCCUGAAGGGAGGACCUGAAGAGAUUCCCUGGGAGAUGGUUCCUGGAUGGCAAAUGCCAGCGCUUCGGUCAGUGCCAAGAUCAGCAGGAAACCUUGAGAGGAAGACAGAGAGAAGGGGUGAAAUACUUGGGGAACAGCAUACAGCCUGGGCCUUUCUUACCUGUGGCCAGGGACAGUGCUUGGAACUCAGGAAAUGUCAGGAGCAUUCCUGAGGCCCACUCUAGCGUCCCCACACUGCCUCAGAAAUGUCUGUGGUGCUGGGGCAGGUAUGUUAGGUAGGUGCUGCCUGGCACCUCCUGGAAAGAGACACCAGCACCAGGGGAACCAGAGCAGCCACCCUGCCAGGCCUGUCCUUUCCCACAUGCCUCUCAAACACCAUCAGCCCUCCCCACAAGGGCAACUUCUCAGAACAGGCUGGGGGUGCAGAAGGUUUGUGGCCUCUAUGUCUGCCUCUUCCUCUGCAGCCAGGAGAGGUCAAGGCCAGCUUGCCUGUGGGGAAGCCUGCAACUCUGUGGGAGCCACUGCAAGCCAAAUAAGGAAGGCCUGGGAGGCAGUGUGGACCAACUCCGAUGCCCUUUUUGGAAUCUUCCAUUUAUAAUACACAAAGGUAAAAACGAACAGACCUCUGUCCCUUCACAACCAUUUACCAAACAAUUAAGGAGGCUCAACCCUCUCCCUGACCCUGGAUAAGUUCGCACAUAUCCACAAACAAUCCUAAAAUAAGACAAAGAUUUCUCAGUGCCAUAGAAGAGUGACAGACAUAAGAGGACCAGGGUCCAGAGAAAGGCAACCAGACCUGGAGCCCAUAAAAGCACUUAGCACAGCCUGGAAAAGAAAGUGCCUUCUACAAAUGCCAGCUGGUGUCAUGGUUGUUAUUAACUGCUUUUCCUGUGGCAUUAAUGUGGCUGAACUCUGGAAAAUUGUCCUUGGUGAUACCCAGCCUUUUUGUGUAGAAGGAGCCCUUUUGAAAAAUUUUUAAAAAAAGGAUUUUGUAUGAUAGUCAAUGUGCAUAGUUUCAGUUCAUUGAGAAAAUGCACAAGGACAAAAAACAUUUCUAAUUGUGUGUGAAUUUUAUUAAUCACAGCAGCAUAUGCCUAUAUUUAAAAAUGGUCCCUCAUGCAAGCAUGAGAUGUAGGAGCCAUUCCCUGACAACACAUGGAUUGGCAAGAGCCUGUCUGUACUGCUGAGGAGCGGCCAAGAGUCCUCUGAGGCCUGACUCUGACCUGUUAGCAUCUCCUUGUCCUCUUAGCACCUCCUUGUUCAUGAAUCCCCUUCUUUGUCAGCCUCUGGCAGUUCCUUCAGCCUCUUCCGGGCCCCCCUUGACUAUGGAGAGAGAUCUCCGUGUCUGAUUACUUUCUCCGAGCCUCUUUUCCCCAUCAGAUUCCAGCAGGACACAUGGCCAAAAGAGGAGUCCAGCUGUGAUUCUGAUGGAGAAGGCAGGGCCCUGGAGAGAUUCUAGGAAACAGAGACGGGGAGGAGAUCUCCAGGCAUGCCUUUGACACAAGGCCCAGGAUCACCAUUUGGUGUGUGGUGGAGCCUUGACAUGGACCAGCGUCCUUCUCACCCUGCUCUUCUAAAUUGGUGGGUUAUGGGAGGCUGCGGGGACUUUAGAUUACACUGAGGCUGUAGCACCCUCCAACUCUAGGACCAAAAAUUUGCCCUAAACAAUAUUUUUUUCUAAACUUUCAUUCAUGAUCUAGACUAGCGGUGCCCAACCUUUUUGGCAUCAAGGACAAAUUGUCUUCCACUUGGUUUUGUGGAAGACAGUUUUUCCAUGGACUGGAGUUGGUGGUGGGGCAUGGUUUUGGGAUGAAACUCUUCCACCUCAGAUGAGCAGGCAUUAGAUUCUCAUAAGGAGCACACAACUUAGGUCCAUCCCUUGCAUGUGCAGUUCACAACAGAGUUUGUGCUCCUAGGAGAAUCUAAUGCUGCCGCUGAUCUGACAGGAGGCAGAGCUCUGGUGGUAAUGCUGUGGCGCUAACGCUGGCUUGUCGGCCUCUCGCCUCCUGAUGUGCAGUCUGGUUCCUAACUGCUACUGGUCUGUGGCCCAGUGGUUGGGGACCCCUGAUCUAGACCACGCACCAACAGUACAUUCUGUGUGUUUGAGUCAAUCCUAAAAGCUGUUUGCUGAGUACCUGCCCUGACCCAGGCUUUCAUGCGUGCUUUAAUCCACAUGACCACUUGGUGGGACAUGAAAUUGAGGUUUGGGGAGAGUAGGCAACAUGUGGAAAGUCACACAGUAGCAGAAGUAUGUGAAACAUGCUCAUCCUGGUCAACCACCAUCAGUGAUGCAUAAGGAGAAAGAGGACAGUGUGUUGUAUCCCAGAAGAAUUAAUGUGCUGCCAUGCUCUGACCUGUCCAGGGUUAUCCUAGCACCCCUAUCCUGCCCAUGGCUUAACACCACAGAGAUGAGUUAUUCCUAGGGCUAGUGGGGUUGACCUCCAUGUUUUGAGGGACAUUCCCUUUCAAGCCUCUGUUGAGCUCACAAGUGUUAAGUGUUGUUAAAGACUGACUUGUGCACCCCCAAAAUCCCUAUUGAAAGGAUUGAAGCCCUAACUCCCAGUACCUCAGAAUGUGACUAUAUUUGGAGAUAGGGCCUUUGAAGAGGUAAUUAAGGUAGAAUGAGGCCAAUAGAGUGGGACCUAAUUCAAUCUGACUGGUGUCCUUCUAAGAAGAGGAGAUUAGGACACACAGACAUCCGGAGCAUGUGUGCACAGAGGGAUGGCCAUGUGAGGACACAGCAGCUAGAGGGCGCCAUCUCCAAGCCAAGGAAAGAGGCAUCAGGACUCCAACCCUAUGGGCACAGCUUGGACUUCCAUCCUCCUCAACUGUGAGAGUUUUGCUCUUAUUGCCCAGGCUGGAGUGUAAUGGCGCGAUCUCAGCUCACCGCAACCUCCACCUCCUGAGUUCAAGUGAUUCUCCUGCCUCAGCCUCCUGAGUAGCUGGGAUUACAAGCAUACAACACCACGACUGUCUAAUUUUGUAUUUUUAGUAGACACAGGGUUUCUUCAUGUUGGUUAGGCUGGUCUUGAACUACCAACUUCAGGUGAUCCGACCACCUCAGCCUCCUAAAGUGCUGGGAUCACAGGCGUGAGCCACCGCACCUGGCCAAUUUUAAGUUUCUUCUAAGUAGAUCUUCCUUCCCUAUGAAAGUAGGUUUUCUACUGCAAGAUACCCUUUUAACAGAGAAUCACAGCAGUUUGAGUAGUUUUCUGAAUGAUCCUGGAUACUUGGUACGAUUUUAAAUUGUGUCUACAAGUUCUCUGACACUCUCCCCACCAGAGGUAGAGUCUAUUUUUUCUUCCCUUGAACUUAGGUAGGACUUUGUGACUGCCUUGAUGAAUACAAUGAGGCAGAAGUGACACCCUACAUCCCUUCUGAGGCCAGAGACAAAAAGCCCUUGCAGCUUUUGCAGGUUUCUCUUGGGGGCUUUGGCCCCCUGUAAGAAGUCCAGCUCCCUUGAGGUAGCCACAUGGAGAUACCUUGCAAAGAGUGACAGGAAUGCCUGAGGAGACCCAGCCAGGCACUGGACAUGAACGUGAAAAGCCUGCAAGAUGACCCUGGCCAUUGCUGGACUGCAGUCACCCAAGAGAUCCCAAAUGAGAGCUGCCUAGCCGAGCCCAGUCAACCCUAAGUAACUUGAACAAAAUAAAUGAUUGUUACUGCUUUAAGACACUGUUUUUGUUUCUAUUAUCAAUAGAUAACUAGAACACUUGGGAAUUUAGCUUCUGCAACUGAUGUUUCAACAACAAAAGAAAAGAGCAUCUAAGCACACCAAGUCUAUCAGAGAGUUUGUUUUCUACAUGAGCAAUAACGUGCAACCUUGCCAGGAAAUGGGCUUUUCUAAUUUCAAGAUUAUUGUUCUUUAAUCGGAAGGGAUGUUGAGACUCUGGUAUCAGCUCCUCCACUUUACAGAUGAGAAAGCUGAGGCCCAACAAAGUGAAAUGAUUUACCCUGGCCACAUAGCUACACACAGGGUUAGGGAUACAGAGGGACUCAAGCCAACUCAUUGUCUGCCAUUCCCAUUAAGGCUCCAAAUUCACACUGUUCUUUUUAUUUAUUAAAAUUUCUUUUCCUUUUUUUUUUGAGACAAGGUCUCACUCUGUCACCCAAGCUGAAGUGCAGUUGAGUGAUCACAGCUCACUGCAGCCUUGACUUCCUGGGUUCAAGUGAUCCUCCCACCUCAGCCUCCAAAGUGCUGGGACUACAGGCACAUGCCACUAUGCCCAGCUAAUUUUUGAAAUAGGGUCUUUUCAUGUUGCUGGUCUCUAACUCCUGGGCUCAAGCAGUCUGCCUGUCUUGGCUUCUCAAAGUUUUAGGAUUACAGGCAUGAGCCACUGUACCUGGCCAGUGUUCUUCUUAUACUCACUGUGGUUCCAGUGUUCUAGCAUGGUCCAUCUCUGAACUUCAAUGAUUCCUUUUAUCAAAGAUCAAAUAUAAACUUCUAAUUCCUUGGAGCACAGUUUCCCUUAACCAAAAAUAAAUAUGUAUCAUUGACUUCAGGGUGAGCUGGAUGACUGAUCUUAAGAGGCAUUCCAUGCCUGUGACCUCACUUCUUGAUGAAACCAAGGAGUUUUAGGUGGAAGUCUUUUCUGCUUCCUUCACUACAGGUUGCUACAUUUCAAAUGUUCCCUCCCAUAAAAUCUUGCUGGGUACAUGCCUCAGAUAACAAGGUUGAGGGACAGAAAGUUCUUCUCAGAGGUAACUGGGACCGUUGCCUGGCAGAUUUUAGACAUCUCUGAGAUUACUGAUUCAACAGCUAUGUUGAUGAGGUCCAUGACUUGUACUUUGGGAAACUGCUUCCCAGAGUACAAUCUCUUGAAUACAUUCCAGCAAGAAAGCCAUGUGAGACAGGGCCUGUGUGCCCCAGACACCCCUAUGGCCUCCAGCCAACAUGAAUUCACCUUGUGCUGAAGCUCUGAGAGGCUGACAGAUUAUGGCCUACUAAAAAAUAUAUGAACAAACACGCAUGAACACAAACCCACACAGAGUAAGCAUAGGCCCUUUCCCGGGGACAAGAAACAGGGAAGAAUCACACAUUUUCAGCUCAAGUCCCCAUCAUCUCCAUGCUCACAUAUGGUUAAGUCAUAUGUCUGAGGUCAAAACGAUCACCAUGUAGCAGUACCAGGAUUUAAACCCAGGUUUCUCGGAUCCUGACUGGCCAAGAAAUCCUGGAAACUGAGAAAUUUUUGAUCCAGGAAAAUGUCUACAUGAAUAGAGGAAAGCUUGAUGAAGAUAAUAGUAACAACUGUGAUGACCACGACUAAAAACAAAUCUUUCCCCAAAUGCAGCAACACUUGGGAGCAACUAUGCUAACUAUGCUACCUUUGUUUAAUCUUCAGCUUUAGCUUUUUUUGCCUUAAUCAUUUGAUUCAACUUGGUACAAACAUUUUUCACCUAGAACUCCUCUGAGAAUUCUUCCUGGGCCUUGAAACUGUUGUUAGGAAUCCCUCCUUGUGUGCCUGUAACCUAUAAGCUCUAUUCCAGCUCUCACCUCUCUGAAUGGAAAUGGACAAUGUCUUGUCUGUUUCUCUGUCAGAAGUGGAUGCUGCCAGGGCUGGGACCAUGUUUGAUUCAAUAUUAAAUGCCCAUAUCUAGUCCAGCACCUAGGCUACAACACAUAUUUGCUGAAGAAUAAGAAACUUUCCUAAAUCACUUACUAGCCAUCUGUGGCAGCUGGUGUUUUCUGGAAAUGACCACCACAGUCCAUUCCAAUCCACUUACCUUUUGUAAGUGUGACUUUGGCUCUCCUGUUGAGAGGUAAGGUCUACAUUCCUUCCCUUACAUCUGCGUGGGUUUGUGACUGUGGCUCGGUGAUGCUACCUUACGUCUAAGGCCAGUAGCCAUAAAAGGUGGUAUGGCUACUUCUUGGUUUUCUGGUGGUGCUUACUCUUGGGAGCCAGCUGCCAUGCUGCAAGGAAGCCUGAGUAGCCCAGAGAGGGGCCCAUGUGGAAAGGAACUAAGCUUCAUGGGCUUCAGCCUUAGCCUAACUUCUAGAUGAUAGCAGUACAAUCCUGUUGGCCAUGUGAAUGAGCCAUCUUGAAAGCAGAUCUUUCAGCCCAUGCAGCUGAGUCUGGGGAGAGCAGAGACAAGUGACUCCUCCCCAGCUACAGACAUAAGAGCAAAAUGAAUGAUUGUUAUUGAUCUAAGCCACUAAGUUUUGGGGUGGUUUGUUAGGUGGCAGCAGUAGCUGGAAUACCAACCAUGUAGAAGUGAAAUCAAAGCUCUUUCAGUGACCAUUCUGAUUUAGAUAAGAAGGGCUUUCAAGUGCUGGAGCUCAACAGGCUGAUUUUGACUUGGAUUUCCUUACUGUCCUCCUUUCUUGGCCAGACUGAGAUAAAGGGAAACAUCUCAAUGCUGGGCUCUUUCUACAGCAUCAUGAUUUCUCUGACAGCCACAUCAGGCUCCCUCAGGGAAGUAAGGAACAAAUGCAUACUAGGAGGACGAUGAAACUUCUGUGUGCGUGUGCGCACACACACACAGUGGGCUGGGGAAACAGGUGGAAUAAAGCUGGGGGCUGUUAUUUGCUGUCUGCAUAUCGAGGACAUAGCCGUUUCCUUCAAGGAGCUAAUAGUAUAGAAGGAAAUGAAAUUUGUGGUGACAGGAGCAUAAACUCACAUACCAAAGGUGUUCUCUCAAAGACUUGCCUCAAAUAAACAAAAAUGAGAGUCAAAUUAGAUGGAUGAAAAGGUCAACUCAGCCUCUAAUAAGAUAACAAGAUCAUUAAUAUUCAUGGAACGUCUCUCUGACAUCAGGGGAAAGAACACAAAUGCAUCAGUCCAGACUGCCUUGUACUCUCCCAAUCUCAAAGGAAGAAGCUCAUAAAAACUGCUCCCUGCUUUACAGUAGGGAACGAACCUGAGAAACACAACCUCAGCCAGGUGAUCGAGGCCAACAUUCACAGUUCUAAUGUCACAAUGACAAUAUGUACCCUUGAUAUGAAAAAGGUGCUUUAUAGUUUUCCCCUCCCAAACCCAUAAGCCCAGUAUAGUCAUAAGAAAAACAUCAGACAAAUCCCAAUUGAGGGACAGUCUACCAAAUAGGUGACCAGUACUCAAAACUGCCAAGGGCAUCAGAAGCAAGGAAGGUCUGAGCAGAUGUCAUAGCCAAGGGGAGCCUAAGGGGACAUGAAGACUAAAUGUAAUGUGGUAUCCCAGAUGACAUCCUGGAAAAAAAAAUGUUAGGCAAAAACAAAGGGAAUUUGAACAAAGUGCUACUUCAGUUAAUAAAUGCACUACAGUAACGUAAGAUGCUAAUCACAGAGGAAAGUGGAAACAGGCGUCUAGGAACGCUGUACUACUGUUGCAACUUUUCUGUAUGUUUAAAACUAUUCUAAAUUUAAAAAUAUAUUUUAAAAAUGGUGUAUGGAUGGCAGACAACAGGGACAGUGCAAGGCUUUGGGGCAUGGAUGGCAGAGAGCAGGGACAGUGAAGGCUACCCCAUGGGGUGGGUUCUAAAAGGGGACAUAACUGAAGGGAGGCUCAUAGGCAACUUUCCCAGCACCCUAGCAUGAGAUCAUGCACUCCCAGAUCUGGGCAUGCAGGUGGUGGAGUAGGGGUGGGUGCUGAGAAUCUCCCUGCCUUAAUGCCAACUUCUGGAUCCUCAGAUCUCUUUUAGCCUAGUUGACAGAUUCUAAUUGAAUAUAUCCACUGAUGUGCUUCGGAGCCCACUUAGAGAGAGGGGGGGAAAUUCUAAGAUUUUGCUGCAUCUGUCUGUAUUUCAUGAUUCUUAAUUUUUAACCAUUCUAAUUCAAAGUAUGGAGUUAGGUGAAAUGGUCAGGGAGACAACAACCUGAACAUACAGUUUUUAACCUGUUCAAAUUCUAACUGCAGAAUCAGGGUAAACGCCACCCAUGCAACAGCCACUACUUUCUUGACCAAGCAGGCUGAAUGAAAAUCAAACCUUAUUCAUCAGUGCCAUGGGGCUAGAUUACCCUGUUGCUUAAAUGUGGAAGUCACAUAAGGUGCUGGACAUGGAUACAUCCAUUCUUGUUCAGAAUUUCUGCCCAUACUCCCUUCCUGCUAGGUGAUGAUGUAUUCAUUUCCAGAACCCAAUUUGACUGUCACCUCAUCUUGGCAAAGUCAAGGUCCCUCAGUUCCCCAGGUGGAAAUGGUGGCUCCCUGCCCAGUGCUCCCAGACACUGUUUCUGUUCCUAUUGUGACUCUUCUCUGCAAAGAUACCUUCAGUAGAGGAUGUAGUGGGAAGGCCAUGGGCUUGGGGUCAGUGGGAUUUGGGUUCAAUCUUGGCUUUGUAACUUUCUAGUUAUAGCCUUCAGGCAAAUUAGUUAAGCUUUGUUUUUUCCUCAGCUGUAUGAUAAGGAAAAUAAUGCCUAUCUGCAGGGUGCUUUUAGGGUGGGAAUAUGUCAUUAAGAUGGUCAUCAGAGAGAUGCAAAUCAAAACCACAUUGAGAUACCAUCUUACGCCAGUUAGAAUGGCGAUCAUUAAAAAAUCUGGGGACAACAGAUGCUGGAGAGGAUGUGGAGAAAAAGGAACACUUUUACACUGUUGGUGGGAGUGUAAAUUAGUCCAACCAUUGUGGAAGACAGUGUGGCGAUUCCUCAAGGCCUUAGAAAUAGAAAUUCCAUUUGACCCAGCAAUCCCAUUACUGGGUAUAUAUCCAAAAGACUAUAAAUCGUUCUACUAUAAGGACACAUGUACACGAAUGUUCAUUGCAGCACUGUUUACAAUAGCAAAGACCUGGAAUCAACCCAAAUGCCCAUCGAUAAUAGACUGGAUUGGAAAAAUGUGGCACAUAUACACCAUGGAAUAUUAUGCAGCAAUCAGAAAUGAUGAGUUCGUGUCGUUUGUAGGGACAUGGAUGAAUCUGGAGAACAUCAUCCUCAGCAAACUGACACAAGAACAGAAAAUGAAACACCGCAUAUUCUCACUCAUAGGUGGGUGAUGAAAAAUGAGAACACAUGGACACAGAAAGGGGAGUACUAAACA